CACGUAGGGCGCAAGCGUUGUCCGGAAUUAUUGGGCGUAAAGAGCUCGUAGGCGGUCUGUUGCGUCCGCUGUGAAAACUCGGGGCUUAACCCCGAGCCUGCAGUGGAUACGGGCAGACUAGAGGUAGGUAGGGGAGAAUGGAAUUCCCGGUGUAGCGGUGAAAUGCGUAGAGAUCCGGAAGAACACCGGUGGCGAAGGCGGCCUGCUGGGCAGUGGCUGACGCUGAGGCGCGACAGCGUGGGGAGCAAACAGG
rnacentral:rRNA from 1 species